UUAAGCAUAUCAAUAAGCGGAGGAAAAGAAACUAACAAGGAUUCCCCUAGUAACUGCGAGUGAAGCGGGAAAAGCUCAAAUUUAAAAUCUGGCAGUUUAAUAGCUGUCCGAGUUGUAGUCUGGAGAAGUGCUUUCCGUGCUAGACCGUGUACAAGUCCCUUGGAACAGGGCGUCAUAGAGGGUGAGAAUCCCGUCUUUGACACGGACUACUAGUGCUUUGUGAUGCGCUCUCAAAGAGUCGAGUUGUUUGGGAAUGCAGCUCAAAAUGGGUGGUAAAUUCCAUCUAAAGCUAAAUACAGGCGAGAGACCGAUAGCGAACAAGUACCGUGAGGGAAAGAUGAAAAGCACUUUGGAAAGAGAGUUAAACAGUACGUGAAAUUGCUGAAAGGGAAACGCUUGAAGUCAGUCGCGUUGUCCGGAAAUCAGCCUUGCAUUUAUUUGCUUGGUGUAUUUUCUGGUUGACGGGCCAGCAUCGAUUUUAAUCGUUGGAUAAAGGCGAGGGAAAUGUGGCACCUUCGGGUGUGUUAUAGUCCCUUGUCACAUACAACGGUCGGGAUCGAGGAACUCAGCACGCCUUUAUUGGUCGGGGUUCGCCCACGUUUCGUGCUUAGGAUGUUGGCAUAAUGGCUUUAAACGACCCGUCUUGAAACACGGACCAAGGAGUCUAACAUACCUGCGAGUGUUUGGGUGGUAAACCCGAGCGCGUAAUUAAAGUAAUAGUUGAGAUCCCCGUUACAAGGGAGCAUCGACGCCCGGACUUGACCUUCUGUGAUAGCUCUGCGGUAGAGCAUGUAUGUUGGGACCCGAAAGAUGGUGAACUAUGCCUGAAUAGGGUGAAGCCAGAGGAAACUCUGGUGGAGGCUCGUAGCGAUUCUGACGUGCAAAUCGAUCGUCAAAUUUGGGUAUAGGGGCGAAAGACUAAUCGAACCAUCUAGUAGCUGGUUCCUGC
rnacentral:rRNA from 1 species